UAACCAUGCCUUCAAAUUUAUUUACAUGGAU
rnacentral:piRNA from 1 species